rnacentral:rRNA from 1 species
UACGAAGGGUGCAAACGUUGCUCGGAAUCAUUGGGCGUAAAGCGCACGUAGGCGGCCUCAUAAGUCGGAUGUGAAAUCCCUCGGCUCAACCGAGGAAGUGCAUCCGAAACUGCGAGGCUCGAGUAUGGAAGAGGGUCGCAGAAUUCCCGGUGUAGAGGUGAAAUUCGUAGAUAUCGGGGAGGAAUACCAGUGGCGAAGGCGGCGACCUGGGCCAAUACUGACGCUGAGGUGCGAAAGCGUGGGGAGCAAACAGG